rnacentral:lncRNA from 1 species
UAAGCUAAUCAAACCAAAUCUCCAUCUAUGUUCACAGGAGAAAAACUUAGAACAGCUCAUUAAUGGGGACUUUCUUCGUGUCUCCUAUACUUUGAACAUUCACAGAAAUGUCAAACAAGACAAGACGGACAUCAAAUAAAUUAAUAUAGGAUAAUAUACACAUAUUCUUGAAACUAUUUAAUAACAUACUAGCCAAAAUCGAUCGAACAAAAGAGAAACAAAAGGGCUGAUUUUUUAUGUUUGAAGACAGACCGGGUCAAAAUUACUUUUAAGGCUCAAUUUUUAGAAAAAGCAGCAGUAUAUACACACAUAUACAUAUGUUUUAACAAGUCCAUAUGCUCAAACAAGAAACAACUUUUCCAAAAAAAAAUAGGUUUCAUUCACAGAAUUAAAGGGAAACAACAAUGACAUGAGUUUGAAAUUGAAAUAAAAUCACAUAUUCAUGGAACCGAACUAGGAAUGAAACUAAAGGAGACAGAUUCGUACUUAGGAUGCAAAAUAGCCUCUCUCGAAACAAAAUAGUUUUAAAGAUUAAAAGAGAAAAAAUUAUGUUUUGAAAUUAAUUUCCAGAGAAUAAACAACAACACCAUAAUAAGACCUGAAACAAAUUAAAAUCACACAUCCACUAGAUUCAAAAAUGACCUACGGAGAAGAUAUGAAGGCCACAUGAAAGAUGGGUGUUUACCUUAUAUUGUGCAGCAAAGCUGAGGCUUCCCGUAGAGAAUCCUAUGGCCACAAAACUCAAAACUCGGGAACUCAGAAUUUACGAAACCAAGGACCAAGUGAAGUAAUUCUUGCAGCCCUUUGCUUGUGAAAUUGUCAGGCGUUAAUCAACUUUUCCCCAUUUUGCCCUCUAUUUUUCACUUUGUUUUUCUCUCUCCUUCUGGAGAAUCAAAGACAACCAUUUAUAGGCACAAAUCUAGACUUGAAAGUUCAGAUUUAGAAUAAAAAUUUAUUCAAAAUGUGUGGAUCUGAGAGGAGAUUUGAAAAUUCAAGUUCAAAUUUCUAAAAUAAAUCCUCUUUUUCUCCAUAUCUUGAUAAUUUGCAGAGAACUGAUGGCAGAUUAAUCUGUUUUCCAUUAUAUCAUUGAUUUGGGAUAGAUUUUCUGAUUUUUGAAGGGAUUCAUGGAUUGGGAGAUGUUAAAAUGGGAGGAAUCUCGUGACAGCCUGUUUGGAUGGUUAUCAUGGAACCAUGUUUAUUUUCAUGGUUUUCUAAAAAUGGUGAUAGGUAUGUUACUAUUCUAUGUUUGAUAACCAUGAAAUGAGGCAAUUUCUGGAACUACCAAUUUGGUGGUGUGGCGUGGUUCUCCCUUUUUUUUUUUUCCAACUUUGACCUUAUAUAAUUUUAUUAAAACCCAUUAUACCCUUUUACUUUUCUUAACCUUAUAUACUCUUUUCUUCAACUUAACUCUCUUUUUCACUGCAGCACCCAUCUCUGGCACCACCCUAGCAUUUAACAUAGUAGUAUCCUCAGAAAAAAUAAGAGACGCUGCUAUCUCAUUGACGCCUUUUAGGGUUUUUUUCAUUUUCGGGGUAAGAAUAGAUAUAGGUAUAGCUAUUUUGUAAGGCCGACCACGAUGGAGAUAGUAGGAAGUGGAAGAAGGAGGUGGGUCGAUGAACUCAAUGUAGCUGACAGAGAAAACGACGUCAUCAAUGCCCUCAUUGAAAAUUUAU